CGGACGGGUGAGUAAUGUCUAGGGAAACUGCCGAUGGAGGGGGAUAACUACUGGAAACGGUAGCUAAUACCGCAUAACGUCGCAAGACCAAAGAGGGGGACCUUCGGGCCUCUUGCCAUCGGAUGUGCCCAGAUGGGAUUAGCUAGUAGGUGGGGUAACGGCUCACCUAGGCGACGAUCCCUAGCUGGUCUGAGAGGAUGACCAGCCACACUGGAACUGAGACACGGUCCAG
rnacentral:rRNA from 1 species